GCAGGAGAAAAAGAGGCUGUUUGCUCACAGACCAUUUCAUUCUGGGAAGUCCCGUGCCUCAAAUCUAUGUAGUUUACCUAAGACUGUAAAGGAUUUUUGCAGUCACUGUUUUGGCCAUUUCUACUGCCUCCACUUUCCGUUAUGUCUCCUCCCAGGCAGUCUAGGAAUUUCCUGAUAGAGUUGAAAUGGAGCAAUAAGUACAGAUUUUCCUGAGUGUCCCACAGACACGACUCCAAUUCCAGCUUUUGAAUGAUCCACAGUAAACCAAGGAACUGAAUGAAUGACCAGGGAUCCAGUGCUUCAGCCUGCUUCCUGGCCAUCAUUGACAGCUGAGACAGUCCCUGUGUAACAGGACCUAAAACACAUAUAGGACACA